rnacentral:rRNA from 1 species
GACGAACGCUGGCGGCGUGCUUAACACAUGCAAGUCGAGCGGUAAGGCCCUUUCGGGGGUACACGAGCGGCGAACGGGUGAGUAACACGUGGGUGACCUGCCCUCAGCUCUGGGAUAAGCCUGGGAAACCGGGUCUAAUACUGGAUAUGACUCCAUGACGCAUGUUGUGGGGUGGAAAGCCUUGUGCGGCUGAGGAUGGGCCCGCGGCCUAUCAGCUUGUUGGUGGGGUGANGGCCUACCAAGGCGACGACGGGUAGCCGGCCUGAGAGGGCGACCGGCCACACUGGGACUGAGACACGGCCCAGACUCCUACGGGAGGCAGCAGUGGGGAAUCUUGCGCAAUGGGCGAAAGCCUGACGCAGCGACGCCGCGUGAGGGAUGACGGCC